rnacentral:rRNA from 1 species
AGCAGCCGCGGUAAUUCCAGCUCCAAUAGCGUAUAUUAAAGUUGUUGCAGUUAAAAAGCUCGUAGUUGAAUUUCGGGAUCAAAGGAUCGGUCAUGCCUUGGUAUGUACUGGUUUUAUUGGUUCUCACCUUCUAAAGAACCAUAAUGUCAUUCAUUUGAUGUUAUGGGGAAUUAGGACUGUUACCUUGAAAAAAUUAGAGUGUUUAAAGCAGGCUCACGCUUGAAUACAUUAGCAUGGAAUAAUGAAAUAGGACGUUUGAUUCUAUUUUGUUGGUUUCUAGGAUCGACGUAAUGAUUAAUAGGGAUAGUUGGGGGCAUUAGUAUUCAAUUGUCAGAGGUGAAAUUCUUGGAUUUAUUGAAGACUAACUACUGCGAAAGCAUUUGCCAAGGAUGUUUUCAUUAAUCAAGAACGAAAGUUAGGGGAUCGAAGACGAUCAGAUACCGUCGUAGU